CAGUGGCCGUUGCGAAGAAAAUAGAGCUUACUCUGUCUGCUUCAGAUACGUUGGUUGUGACUCGAGUGCAUGGUCACUGCUGCCAGCGAAUACCCACUGUAUUGCGGUCGCUUCGCCUUAUUGUGGAUCUGAGUCAUUGCGACGCUUGAUAGCCGCUUUAGUCCUGCAGUUUUCCAACUAAGGAUUUCCGAGUGAUUGACUGUGCUCAAGGUUAUUGCAGUCAUUAUCCUCGUAAUGGACAAAGUAGAAGCCACAAUGGAGGGGCCGUCGUUGGAGUAGCCGCCGUUUACGCCUGUACCUCUAUGACCGAGCCGACUGCCAAGAAAAGAGCUUAGGCUUGGACUGGAUGACUGCAAAGACAAAGGCUUAGCCCUCGGCCUCGUGUGCGAUGACGAAGAACACCAGUAACGUCCCAGCGCUUUCCGCUACAUGGUAAAUGUAUUUCUACCUUUUCUCUCCUAAUGUGCAUCACUUCUUCCAUGCCGUGGAGCUCAGGUGUACACGCUGCUUUCAUACAUGUACAUGUGCAUAUUGAUUAUGAUGUACGUCAGCAUGACCCAGGAAAGAUUAUGUCCACGUAUCCUCCAGUCUAGACCUGGUCAUAAAAGAUGAUCAUGUACAUGUAUUGUGAAGUGACGCCAGUAUUGCGAGUUGCAUAGUGAAUUCAUGUUCGUAAUACCUUUUCUUCUCCUAUUAUAAUUCUUGGCAAUUCCAUUUAUUUGGCCUAUCCGCUGCCUUCGCAUCACUCGCGCUUGCAAAAAAAAUGUUUCGAUAUCCUUGU